rnacentral:snoRNA from 1 species
AUCCUUUUGUAGUUCAUGAGCGUAAGCAUCUUGCGCCUACGAACACGUAAGAUGUGCCACUUUUGAACUUUGUUAAGACGUUGACACAUUACCUUCUGAUG